CUAAGUAAUUUAACACACAACUUUGUGAACCAAAAAAUAUACUUCCGGCAACGAUAGUAAUAAAUAUCUAUUAACUUCCAAUAACAUUCCAAAUGAUAAAUAUCAUAUUAUGAAUACCCGUCAUAAACAGACACUCGCCGCCCAGGAAAAACCAACUUAUAAAGUUUGGAAACCUGCGCACGGAGCAAUGCAAGAACCGUUUCUGGGUAAUGAUGCCGUACUCCAUCAUGAUCAUGAUUAUAUAAAAAACAAUUUUAUACACAAAAAAGGAAGUUUUAACUAUACGAUGUCUACGGCUAGAAUGACCACCUAGACAAUUUUUUCACGAACCCGCGAAAAACAAAUUUACAUAACAAAACAUUAGGUCACCUGACCUAUCGAAUCAUAUAUCAUUGACCCAUACAAAAUAUAACAGAAACUUUAAGAC
rnacentral:lncRNA from 1 species